rnacentral:lncRNA from 1 species
UAAGUAGAUACGUAAUGUUCAUGCGCGCCGGGGUUAUCAUGGGUUCCUGCCUGUAAAAUAUUUAUGAAUAAGGUCGCUGCAUGCUUUUGUGUGUCUGCAUGUUUAUGGAGGUUAUCUUUAAAUAAAAGAAAAUGCCCCGGUGUUUAGUAAUUACCGUACAUAUUCCAUAUAAUAUAUAUAUAUAUACGAGAUAUAUAUCUAUAUGAAUAGUUAGUAUAUCCGAGACAAUCUAUAUUUAUAGUGAGUUAAUUUUAGAGUAAAUUAUUAAAUUAAUCUUAAUAUUUCACAGUUAUUAUAAUUUAAUUUUUAAUAAUUUUUUAUUACGAGAGAAGCAAAGAGUAAUCUAAGUGAGAACAAGAAAUAAAGAUGGCUUCCUUCUCCUGCAAAAAGAUAGCUUAGCGGAACUAGGGUCUACAGUUAACUAAUUAUCCUUACAACGUGUCUACAUACUAUCACAGGACCAAGAAAAAAGCGAUCUGAGUUUAACAACAGAUCAAAUAAGGGGGUUGCUAAUGUGAAAAAGAGCACUCAGUACUCCUACAAGCCUGUUCAUGCAGGGCCUUUUUUGAACAAAUAUGGCGGUAUUGGUCCAGAGCUAAGACUGUAGGGAACAACAACUACAUCAAUGCCAGCAUCGGUGGAUUCUAUAUAAAUCCUACAUACAGAACUACAACGAAUUAGAGUGGUAGGUUUGCAAACUUCAAUUAAAGAAAGUCCAAAAAUUCCCAGAACAACCUGAGUGGACACUCAACAUGGAAGAUUAAUGACAGGUACUCUCUUCUUACCUGUACUUUAUAUCAAUGAGGCACAAUAUAAAAAAAAAUCCAAGUUAAAGCAUAAACAUUUGAGUUUCAUGUUUAUUAAUCAACGCUAUCGUUUUAUUUGCUGUUCCAUCUUGUGUUUUAUAAUUUGCUGCCAUUAUCAUGUUGUCUUAAAUGAGAGAGUACGUGGAUUAUAAUGUUAAACAGAGCAUAAUAGUAUAUUAACCUACUCCCUAAGCAAUUUGUUCUAUUAGUUCGUCAUAAUUUGGAAUCGACCGUGCUCAACUAACCAUGCGAAGGAUGCAUCAGGUGGUGGGCAGGCAUGGAUGUGAAGACCUUGCCCAUACGAAGCUCUCAAGCCAUAACCCCAUCAAUUUGAAUUUACCAUGAACGCACAACAGAUUACCAGCAACUCCAUAUAUACUCAAACUUUAACAGAAUAAACUCAAACACAUUAUUAAACCUAACUGCUCUCGAAAAAAAAUAAUAUAUGUCAUGCAGCCAUAGACAAAAGAUGCCUAGCACAUGCAGUAUAAAAGCAUAGAAGCAUUAUUGCAGACGCCUAAAUUCUACUACCGGCAUCGGAUCAUUUAGUUCUUUUGGAGUUGUCUUGAACAUAAGUACGAAAGAGGACAACCUUGCAAACAUUUGGGAUAAACAGGGCGCUAAACCAAACAGCUAUUGCAAUUAAUCACAAACCCUAAGCCAAAAGCAAACACAAACCUGAGAGAAAUUAAAUGGACAAAUCAAUUAUCGAGAGUUCACAAUCUAACUGGAAACAACACACCGACAAAAAAACACUUGUUCGGCCAAAAUUUAUAGCUGAUUAGGUAAAGUUCCAAGCUGAACCGAGGCCUCCGGAAAGGUAAAGGCACAUGCGUAAAUUAUUCAGACUGAUCUCAAAUUGGUUUGGAUGUUUUGCAGAAUGCUGGUUCCGACUCGAACUAGAACCCCUCCAUCAAAUCAGUGUAGCCGUAUAUCUGCAAUCCAGAAUAAUUCAGAAAAGAAGCUUACGUGACCUAGUCCUAUUUAAAUAGCAAUCCCUCAGAACCAACAUUAUAUAGCUUAAAAUUAACUAAGGUGAGAGAAGAAGGCUCCGGCUCCGACAAGGCUCACCGGGUGGUUGACGGGGUAAGAUUCCUUAACUGCUUUCCAUCGACGGCGCCGCGCAAGGCGUUGCUAAGGGGAUUUUCAACUCCCUCGUCGACAGGGUUCUUGCGAAUCAGGAAGCUGCAGUGCGCGAGUUCGAGCACAGUGACGACAUUGGCUUGAUUAUAUCAUCUUAAUUAUACACUCUUAUUAUUUUAUUGAUGAUAAUAUAUAAUUUGUUAUUUUAUUGUAACAUAUUCAUAAUAUUUAAUUUAAUAUAAUCAAUAAAUUAAUUAAUGUAUUAGUAAAUUUAUAUUUUCUAAACGUUUGACUAUAUAUUAAUUUAAUUUAUUAUUUAACAUAAGUUAAAUUAAGUGUAUGACAUAAUUAUUGAAUUUAUGAAUUUAUCUUUAUAAAAUUUAAUACUACCCAUAUAUAUAUAGUUCAUCAAAUAAAAUAUGACCAAUAAAAUUACUCAAUUUUCUGCAAAAAUUACUUUAAUUUAGUGCAUUAAUUUUAAAGUGAAAUUAAUUAAUUUUAUAUUUUAACGAGUUAUAAUAUAAUAAUUUAAUAGUUUAUCUAAAAAGAGAUUAUAAUCUACUCAUAAAACAUAAGAUAUUAAUUGUAAAGUUGAAUCUUAUCCUUAUCAUAUUAAAAUAAUUUAUUAAAAUAUACACCAUAGUUAAAAAUAAUAUAUUAUAUAUUUUAAAAAUAUUAAACUCAUAGAUUAUAUUAAAUUUAAUUUAAUUUAGUCGUAACAAAAUUUAUUUAUCUCACGUAUAGAUUCAGUAUUUUUAUAAAAAAAUUAUUAGUACAGCAAGAAAAAAUUUCAGUACAAAAUAUAUGUAUUUAUUAGUUACGUGAUAUUAAUAGUGAGAUGUAUAAAUAAUUUUUAAAUUAAAAUAUUAACAUAAACUAAUAAUUUAUAAUUAAAAAAUAAUUUACCAAUUAGUUGUGAGGAAAGAGGUCUUAGUUUUUCUAAAUUUUUUUCUUUAGUUGGACUUGUUCUUUCGUGUUUGCAGCUUUUUAAGGGUAAAGAAUUGUAUUGACUUCCUUAUUAUAUCUAUUAAAACCAUUGAUAAGUUAUGUAUCUGUGGUGUGUAUAUAUAUAUAUAUGUACAUAUUUGAAAAAAAUGUAUAUAUAUACACACACACAGAGACAAGAAUUAGAGAACAUGGCUAUCGCUGGAAAUGUUUGAAAAGAUUCCCAUGAUAAAUUUGGCACAGAAGUGCGUCGCCUCCAUUUCAAGAUUCUAAUUCCUAGAGCAUGAAAAGAUAUAUGUGAUAUAUAUAUAUAUAUAUGUGAUAUAUAUGUGAUAUAUAUAUAUAUAUAUCGAUCUUAUCUUAUCAGGCAACGUAUAAAAAAAUUAUUCCUUCCUCACUCCCACUCGUAGCGUAAUCUUCAAGCUGAAGCUCUGAAGAUUCCUUUCACCCCUCCACUCCACACCUAUAUAAAGACCAACCAAGUUUCGCACUUCAAACACAAAAGAAACACACACAAAAAAAAGAAAAAACUCAGAGCAAUCAAGAAAAAAAAAGUAAGAAAAUGGAAGGAACAAGCGUUCAGGUGAGAAGACAAGUGAGAGACUCGAUCGAACAAGGUUUCGACACGGCCCACCGUGUGACCGACUUGGUGACCUUUCCUUUAGCGCCACUCGACGGCGCCGUACACGGCGUUGCUCGUGGAGUCUUCAACUGGCUCACCGACAGGCAUCCCGAGCCUGCAGCCACUGGUUCAAAAUGCGCACCGCCGGCCCCAGCCGUGCAACCCACCAGUUGCAAGGUCGACCCGGCGGCUUGCUGUAAGCCCGGGCCUCAAUUUGGUAACCAUGGAAACAUUGGCGCACAGAACAAUACUACUGGAAACAACAAUAACCUUGACGCUCGCAUUAGCGGACCCAUGAACUUCGGAAACCCUAAGGGCUUUUAAGUAGAUACGUAGCGUCAUGCGCGCCGGGGUUAUCAUGGGUUCCUGCCAGAAAAAUAUUUAUGAAUAAGGUUGCUGCAUGCUUUUGCGUGUUGUACGUGGGGUGUCUGCAUGUUUAUGAAGGUUAUCUAUAAAUAAAAGAAAAUGCCUCGGUGUUUAGUAAUUACCGUACAUAUUUCAUACAAAUAUAUAUAUAUAAUAUAUAUAUACGAGAUAUAUAUCUAUAUCUCUGAACCCACCUUCAAUUUGGGCUUUAAUUCUCUAAAAAAAGCUGUGAGCCUUAACAUAUUCAUAUAGAUAUAUCUCUCGUAUAUAACCUAUUCACAGAGUUACUUGGGUCUUUCCUUUGGGCCAGAUUAAAUUUAUAAAUCAUAAAUAAAAAUAUAAAUAAAAUUUAAGUAAAAUAAUAUUUAUUUGUAAAUAAGUUUAAAAUUAUUUUCCAAGUAAAUUGUAAAAUUAAAAAUUUCUCGUAUUAACUCAAAAAAAAGUUUUUUAUUUUUGUGAACAUGAAGAUAAAUGAUAAAUUUUUAAAACGACCCUGUUUCGUGGACAUGACCACCUAGUAUUAUGUCUUGUUAAGC